GUGCUCGCUUCAACAGCACAUGUACUAAAAUUGGAACGAUACAGAGAAGAUUAGCAUGCCCUCUGCACAAGGACACACAAAUUUGUGAAGCAUUCCAUAUUUUG